ensembl:snoRNA
UGGAUUUGUCCACUUACAGACAGGUUCCAGAAAUAAACCCUCCUAUGCAACCCAGAGCUCAUUGUUCAGCAUGAGUUUUGAUACAUAUAAGAAGAGAUAUU